GACGAACGCUGGCGGCGUGCUUAACGCAUGCAAGUCGAACGGAAAGGCCCUGCUUGCAGGGUACUCGAGUGGCGAACGGGUGAGUAACACGUGGGUGAUCUGCCCUGCACUUCGGGAUAAGCCUGGGAAACUGGGUCUAAUACCGGAUAGGAGCCAUUUUUAGUGUGAUGGUUGGAAAGUUUUUUCGGUGUAGGAUGAGCUCGCGGCCUAUCAGCUUGUUGGUGGGGUAAUGGCCUACCAAGGCGGCGACGGGUAGCCGGCCUGAGAGGGUGGACGGCCACAGUGGGACUGAGAGACGGCCCAGACUCCGACGGGAGGCAGCAGUGGGGAAUAUUGCACAAGGGGCGCAAGCCGGAUGCAGCGACGCCGCGUGGGGGAUGACGGCCUUCGGGUUGUAAACUCCUUUCGCUAGGGACGAAGCUUUUUGUGACGGUACCUAGAUAAGAAGCACCGGCUAACUACGUG
rnacentral:rRNA from 1 species